rnacentral:rRNA from 1 species
AGUGAACGCUGGCGGCGUGCUUAACACAUGCAAGUCGAACGAGAACGGAAUAUAGCUUGCUAUAUUUGUCAGCUAAGUGGCGCACGGGUGAGUAAUGUAUAGAUAACCUGCCCUUAAGAAAGGAAUAACAGUUGGAAAGGACUGCUAAUGCCCUAUAUGCCUUUAAUACAUAAGUAUGCAAGGGAAACGCUUUAGUGCUUAAGGCUGGGUCUGUAUGGUAUCAGCUUGUUGGUGAGGUAAUGGCUCACCAAGGCUAUGACGCCUAACUGGUUUGGGGAGAUGAUCAGUCAAACUGAAACUGAGACGCGGUCCAGACGCCUACGGCAGGCAGCAGUGGGGAAUAUUGCACAAUGGACGGAAGUCUGAUGCAGCAGCGCCGCGUGGAGGAUGACACAUUUCGGUGCGUAAACUCCUUUUAUAUAGGAAGAUAAUGACGGUACUAUAUGAAUAAGCACCGGCUAACUCCGUGCCAGCCGCCGCGGUAAGAC